CCUACGGGAGGCAGCAGUAGGGAAUCUUCCACAAUGGGCGCAAGCCUGAUGGAGCAACACCGCGUGAGUGAAGAAGGGUUUCGGCUCGUAAAGCUCUGUUGUUGGAGAAGAACGUGCGUGAGAGUAACUGUUCACGCAGUGACGGUAUCCAACCAGAAAGUCACGGCUAACUACGUGCCAGCAGCCGCGGUAAUACGUAGGUGGCAAGCGUUAUCCGGAUUUAUUGGGCGUAAAGCGAGCGCAGGCGGUUGCUUAGGUCUGAUGUGAAAGCCUUCGGCUUAACCGAGGAAGUGCAUCGGAAACCGGGCAACUUGAGUGCAGAAGAGGACAGUGGAACUCAAUGUGUAGCGGUGGAAUGCGUAGAUAUAUGGAAGAACACCAGUGGCGAAGGCGGCUGUCUGGUCUGCAACUGACGCUGAGGCUCGAAAGCAUGGGUAGCGAACAGGAUUAGAUACCCGAGUAGUC
rnacentral:rRNA from 1 species